rnacentral:sRNA from 1 species
UUUUAUUGAUGAUGAUUUACGUUGCAGGAGUAGA